rnacentral:misc_RNA from 1 species
AAAGGUGAAUGGUUACCGGGAUUGCCCUCACCAAACUACCUUAAUGGCAGUCUCCCUGGUGACAAUGGAUUUGAUCCUCUAGGCCUUGCAGAGGACCCUGAGAACCUAAAAUGGUACAUCCAAGCCGAGCUUGUGAACAGCCGGUGGGCCAUGUUAGGGGUCACCGGAAUGCUGCUGCCAGAAGUUUUCUCAACUAUCGGAAUAAUCAAUGUCCCCAAAUGGUACGAUGCAGG